GUCCCGUAGUGUAGCGGUUAUCACGUCGCCCUGUCACGGCGAAGAUCGCGGGUUCGAUUCCCGUCGGGAC
rnacentral:tRNA from 1 species